ensembl:lncRNA
CUGGCUCCUCCCGUAGUCGGAGUGGUUUGUGAUUUCUGUUUCCGGCUCGACGGGAAUUUUAAAAGCUCGCCUACUGCUCGUGUACUCAGUGUGAACACCGGGUUAUCUCAAAGUCAUUCAUACUUUAAAUGCGACUUUAUUCGGCAAAAAUUAAAUAGCCUAAAUAUAGACUAAACAUGGCCUCGGAUUGUCACUUCAACUCCAUAUCCAAGGAGGAAGAGGAGGGAGAGGAAUUUGAUCGGAUGCUGGAGCGGAUCGGUGGAAAGGGGAAUAUUUAUUUGGUAGGAGACACGGAUGGAGAAAACAACUGCAGCCUUUUCCAGGAGUUUAUCAUGGACAUGUUUCACACCGAGGUGCACAUCAAGAGGGACAAAAACGCAAAUCUCGGCAACGGGAACAUCAAAUCUGCCGCUGCGAGAAACUGUCCUGUUUCUGAUGUGGCUCAAGGAAAAGGCGAGAAUAACGCCGACGUGGACGAGAAAUGUGUCCGACACAUGCGCAAAAUCUCCGGUCACAGCGGACGAGCGAUUCAUUGCGCCGCCAUCAUCUUCAUUUUCAGACACGGAUACAUUCAGAACAAGGCGAACCAUGUGUGUAUGGAGGAGAUCCUGAAGGACAUAAAGGUUCGAGUGAAGAAAAAUCAUGGAGUUCAUCAGGCGGUACUGGGCCUCGUUCGUGCUGACGCUGAAAGCUCGGAGACUCGCGAGUCUGUGUCGCUCUUGGAGGGGACAGUGAGAUCUGUGUUCAUAAAACAUCCACACAACUCCAUAUGGAUUGGCCAUUUUAUUCCUAACGCAGCAGAUUGCAUAGAGAACAUCAAAAGGAACAUCUGCAAAGCUGUGAAUGAGUCUCAGAGCCCAGAUAACAUCUUGAGCCGUAAGCGAAAUAUUUUCUGGCCGUUGUUACAGUGCUGGAUCAGGAGAGGACGUAGAGAACGAGCCGAAGCGACAACAUAUGCUCAGGCACAGAAAGGUGAUCCUGAAAGCACAGAGGAAGGAAUUCCAUUACAGAUGAAAUCUGGCUUACAGUCCUGACAUCAGGAAUGUUGAAGGAGCAUCGGGAUAUGAAGAUUACUGAUGAAGCUGCUGCUCCUCGGUACUCCUUCAAAAUAAAAUUUCAAAGACAUUGCAAACAUUUUUUUUUGUCUUUGACAACCACGAAAAGGAUGUCAGUCACCAAACAGUGCCUCUGUUAAAGUUUUAAAGGGAGUUAAUUAGAGUAACUUACAUUUUUACAUUUGGAUUGAUCUGAAUUGUGUACUAAUUUUGUCAGGCAAUAUAUACUAGAACAGUCUAGGAUUUCAAUUAAUAGGUUAAUACAUGUAGAGCUUAAUUGUUUGCUAACAUAUUAGACAUUAAAUGUCUUAUUUUAAUUGUAUAAUUAUAUGUAGCAUCUUUAACAGUAGUCAUUGCAGUGAGUUUUCAGUCUUUGCUUUAAGUUUAAGUUCAAUUUCAAUUGCUUUUUUAUAUUUUAGUUUAAGUUUUAGUUUCCACAGUUUUAGUUGUGAACACAGAAGUGGUUUGCCAUCAUUGGAACUUUUGGGGGAAAAAAAAAAAUUUGUUUUCCACUUUAAACUAGAAUUCGCAUUGCAAAUACAUGGUUAAAAAUAAAUAAAUAAAUAAUCAAAUUCUUACUGCACACUUUUUCUAUUUAGUAUCUGAGGUGUUAUAUAUAUUUUGUUGUCAUAAUUGUCUUACAUUUUCAUAAUUGCUAACUGUAAAAGUGUUUAUGAAGCAGGUUUACAGAAAUCUGGGUCUGGACUCCUUAUGGGUAACUCAAGAAGGGGCAGAAACAAAAGAACAAAAAGAACAUUAGAAGAAAAACCUUUGAGUGGAACUGAGACUUAAAAAGCAAACAAUCAUCCUUUGGUAGCCACCUGGAGAGUGCAGUUACAACAGGAGAUGGACAAUGUGUAGGAAAAGUGGGCCUAACAAAGGAACUCUGCUCAAAUAAACAUCCUGGAGAUACGACCAGAAAUAAAACGCUAAAUUAGUGUUAGAACAUAAAAGGAGGAAUGCUGAAGAAAGGAUCCAGAAAAGAUUAGAAUCUUGUACUGGGUUUGCUCGGUCAAGCUAAUGUGUAGCUGAUUGAAAAUCAUGACACGGCAGGAGUUUAAAAGCGGUUUUGGAGUUUUAAGCACUUCAGUGAUACCACCCAAAUAAUAUCUGCUUCUAUGGUGGUCCUUUUCUGUUAAUGGAUAGGGUAACGGGGGGCCUAGAUUUUUAACACUGUAUAGUAGAUCGAGAUUAUAAACUGCUAUUUGGUAGUGUGUGAACAUUACUUUGCUAAGGGGUGAUGCUUCAAGACACCACAUGCACCUCUCUGAGAAAAUAAAAUAAAAUUGAGUCCAUCUCUGCUCUUACUUAUGUAAGUACAGUUUGGUACCUUUAUUUCUGAGAGUUUGUAAUGUAAUAUUAUUUCUACUAAUAAUAAUAAUAUGAGGUGAUGAUAUAUUCAUAAUAAUGGUAAUAAAUUAUAUUAGAAAUAAACUUAGAAAUAAUUGCAGUCACCUUCAGAGAAAAAAAACUAUAUAAAGUGAAGCGAAUGAGAAUUGUUUAGUGAGUAAAACACCUGAGCCAGCAGGUGAGUGUUACAAAUAGCACAUUUUGAGAUUAUGAAUGUUAAUUGGAAGGAUAUUAAGUGUGGAAGACUUAAAGUUCCCUUCAUUUUAACAUGAAUCUAGAUAUACAUUUUGACUGUAGGGCCCGUUUCUUGUUUUUCACCUCUUGGUCUAAAUCAGGUCACAUUAAGCCUCCUUUAGCCUUUAUUAUCCCCCACAGGUGGCACCAAACACUUUCACAAUAGUGCUGGAAUGCAACUAGUUCACAGGAGGGAUUACAUGUUUGACAGGUUCACUACAGAGAUAUUAAAAUGGUUUAAGUGUAUGCCUCAAUUUUACAUAAUUAAUUUCAAGUAAUAAUGCAUCUUUUCUCUUCUCCUAUACCUAUGUUUUAAAAUGUGGC